AGGGUGUAAACGCUGCAGACUUGGUGUUGGAAGUCCUUUGGGGGCAUUCAGUGCCGGAGAGAAGUUGUUAAGUCUGCUACUUGGGGAGUACGUCCGCAAGGAUGAAACUUAAAGGAAUUGGCGGGGGAGCACCGCAACGGGAGGAGCGUGCGGUUUAAUUGGAGUCAACGCCGGAAAUCUCACCGGGAGCGACAGCAGUGUGAUAGCCAGAUUAUAGGUCUUGCGAGACGAGCUGAGAGGAGGUGCAUGGCGUAGUCGUGU
rnacentral:rRNA from 1 species